UUUCCAAGUUUCUAGUAAAUGUGUUAUCAUCUUUUCAUAAUUUAAAAAAAUAAAAAAGAAGUAAAAAAACUUCCUAGAGAGAGCAUAGUACCACAGUGUGUAGCACAGAGGCAUUGGUAAGCACCAAAAGCAUUCCUUAAAUAUGUAAACACAAGAAGGAAGUACAUCAAGGUUGAUACCUGAAGGUCAGGUGAGAUUUGGUAUGAAAGGGGGGGUGGGAAGAAUGUCGCAGGCUGAAGUAACAGCAGGUGCAAAGGCCCAGAGGCAAGAGUGUGCCAGGUUGGGGGAACUGAAAGUCAGGAAUGGCUGGAGAGCACACUGCUGGGAGAGGAAAAGCAAAUGAGGUUGGAAAGAUGAACAGAAGCCUCCUGGUCACGGAGGUAUUGUAAACCAAAUGCAACAGUGGCGAGUGUUAAGAGACAUGAUGAUAUGAUAUUUGCCUUUGAGACAACCAAAUAGCCUUGCAGCAUGAAAAGCAGAUUAGAGGAGGGGGAGUAGGAGUUAGGAAGCCAGUGCAAAAGGCCAGGAGCGCGAGAGAGCAUGGGUGUGAGCCCUGGUGUGGGGGAUGGAAGUAAACUCGAGAGACAUCUCGGAGAUAAAACAGAAAGGCCGAACGUGAGCAGCGGCGGCGGUGACGGAAGUGGCCGGGGAGGCCGGUCCCUGCCGACACCAUGCGUCCCUUGUCGCUGCUGAAAACGGCUCAGAAUCACCCAGUGUUGGUGGAGCUCAAAAACGGGGAGACAUACAACGGGCACCUGGUGAGUGACAACUGGAUGAACAUCAACUUGCGUGAGGUGAUCUGCACGUCCAGGGACGGGACAAAUUCUGGCGGAUGCCCGAGUGUUACAUCCGCAGCAGCACCAUCAAGUACCUGUGCAUCCCGGACGAGAUCAUUGACAUGGUCAAGGAGGAGGUGGUGGCCAAGGGCCGUGGCCGCGGUGGCCUGCAGCAGCAGCAGCAGCAGCAGAAGGGCCGUGGGAUGGGGGGCUCCGGACGAGAUGUGUUCGGUGGCCGGGGCCGAUCCCCAGGACUGGCAGAGGUCAACCAGAAAAGAAGCCAGGCAGGCAGGUGGGCAAACAGUGAGCCACCCCUCCAUUCCCGAGACUAAGCUGCCACCCCGAGCAUCUGCUCCCACCCCGAGGCUGCAUUCCUUCUCUCCAGUUUAUGACUGUUCAGAACAAAAAGAAGACGCAGGGGUCGGGGAGGACCCCCUGCCUGUCACCUUGUGAUCCUCCUGUUUUUUUUUGUUAGCCAGCAGUUCUAUGGUUGGAAAAGUUAUUCUGUGCUUCUGGUUUUGUGAAGCCGCAGCCAACUGGAUUCCUGGAAGAUUCUGUGUUUAAUGCAUCUUGAAAUCUCUCACUCUUGUUUUAAGGGCAGGCAUUUUCCAAACAGGUUUGUUUUGCAUUCUGUGUGGUGAACAGACGGGAGGUUUUUCUUUUCAGCUGAUUGCACUGAGAUAGACAGCCUGGAGGGUCUCCUGAAACACAGACCCUGAAACUGCCUUUUCGAAAUGAAUUCAGGCAAAUGUAUGACUCAGAAGCUGUUCUGAGGGAUGAUGCUGGGCCCUGUUCCGUCCGUUCUCUCUCUUUGUCUUACAAAAAUAAAAACAAAUACAACUA